UCGAACGCGUCUCCGUUAAUGAUUUUAGGUGCUUGCACUUGAAAGAUUUAACAUUGAGACGAGUGGCGAACUGGUGAGUAACACGUGGGUAACCUGCCCUUGAAGUAGGGGAUAACACUUGGAAACAGGUGCUAAUACCGUAUAACAACCAAAACCACCUGGUUUUGGUUUAAAAGACGGCUUCGGCUGUCACUUUAGGAUGGACCCGCGGCGCAUUAGCUUGUUGGUAAGGUAACGGCUUACCAAGGCGAUGAUACGUAGCCGACCUGAGAGGGUAAUCGGCCACAUUGGGACUGAGACACGGCCCAAACUCCUACGGGAGGCAGCAGUAGGGAAUCUUCCACAAUGGACGAAAGUCUGAUGGAGCAACGCCGCGUGAGUGAUGAAGGGUUUCGGCUCGUAAAACUCUGUUGUUGGAGAGGAACAGGUGUCAGAGUAACUGUUGACAUCUUGACGGUGUCCAACCAGAAAGCCACGGCUAACUACGUGCCAGCAGCCGCGGUAAUACGUAGGUGGCAAGCGUUGUCCGGAUUUAUUGGGCGUAAAGCGAGCGCAGGCGGUUUUUUAGGUCUGAUGUGAAAGCCUUCGGCUUAACCGGAGAAGUGCAUCGGAAACCGGGAGACUUGAGUGCAGAAGAGGACAGUGGAACUCCAUGUGUAGCGGUGAAAUGCGUAGAUAUAUGGAAGAACACCAGUGGCGAAGGCGGCUGUCUGGUCUGUAACUGACGCUGAGGCUCGAAAGCAUGGGUAGCGAACAGGAUUAGAUACCCUGGUAGUCCAUGCCGUAAACGAUGAGUGCUAAGUGUUGGAGGGUUUCCGCCCUUCAGUGCUG
rnacentral:rRNA from 1 species